rnacentral:rRNA from 1 species
CCUACGGGGGGCUGCAGUGGGGAAUAUUGGACAAUGGGGGCAACCCUGAUCCAGCCAUGCCGCGUGUGUGAAGAAGGCCCUCGGGUUGUAAAGCACUUUCAGUGAGGAAGAACGCCUGGUGGUUAAUACCCAUCAGGAAAGACAUCACUCACAGAAGAAGCACCGGCUAACUCCGUGCCAGCAGCCGCGGUAAUACGGAGGGUGCGAGCGUUAAUCGGAAUUACUGGGCGUAAAGCGCGCGUAGGUGGCUUGAUAAGCCGGUUGUGAAAGCCCCGGGCUCAACCUGGGAACGGCAUCCGGAACUGUCAAGCUAGAGUGCAGGAGAGGAAGGUAGAAUUCCCGGUGUAGGGGUGAAAUGCGUAGAGAUCGGGAGGAAUACCAGUGGCGAAGGCGGCCUUCUGGACUGACACUGACACUGAGGUGCGAAAGCGUGGGUAGCAAACAGGAUUAGAUACCCUAGUAGUC